rnacentral:rRNA from 1 species
UACGUAGGGGGGCAAGCGUUGUCCGGAAUUAUUGGGCGUAAAGAGCGUGUAGGCGGCCAGAUAAGUCCGCUGUGAAAUCUCGAGGCUCAACUUCGAGCUGUCGGUGGAAACUAUCUGGCUAGAGUCCGGAAGAGGAGAAUGGAAUUCCUGGUGUAGCGGUGAAAUGCGCAGAUAUCAGGAAGAACACCCGUGGCGAAGGCGGUUCUCUGGGACGGUACUGACGCUGGAGACGGCGAAAGCCGUGGGGAGCGAACAGG